ACAGCCUAAACCAAUCGGAGC
rnacentral:miRNA from 2 species